CAGGUGCCGAUCUGCCGCCGAUCCGAACCGAUUGCCUUUAUUCGGAGGUGAUGUGUUUUUAACUUUCUUCAUUACCAUUCGUCAAAAUAGAUCGCUACAUUACGUCCAGGUCAGGAUAUGGGAGCUCAACGGACGAAGAUUCGGACGUCUCCGGUCAGUCGGACCGGGACACGAUGGACGGACCCGACUAUCAGUCCAAUCACGCCCACGUAACGACAUCUCAUCAUCGACGUCACCGCCUCCCGAGUCGCCGUCGUGAACCGAGGGCGCUGGUCAAAAUCAGAGGACUCACGACUGAAACAACUGGUGGAAGAAUUAGGCGAGAGAUGGGAUCUAAUUUCAGAUAACAUGCAAGACAGAUCUGACAUGCAAUGUCAACAGAGGUGGAAUAAAGUCGUUAAUCCAGACUGGUAAAAGGACCAUGGACCAAAGGUAAUUUUUCAUUGUAAAUGGACCAAGA
rnacentral:lncRNA from 1 species